UGAACCUUACCAUCCUAUUCUCAUCAUUCACAAAUGUGUUCAGAUAGUUGUUGCUUGUGUCGUUCCUGUUACUAGAGGAGGGCUCCACUGUGGCCAUUCGCCACUCUGCCUGCAAGCUCGACGCCACAGUUUGACAGGGCCAAGGUGGUAGUAGACGAUGACGAAUAUGGCGCCCUGGCUGUCUCAGUUCAUGAGAUUCCCCUAUGGUGGCCGAAUUUGUAACACACCAGGCUGCUCCCCUCGUAUUGCAAAUCAGAGCUAGCUUAUAUAUUCAUCCAUAGGUCAUGGCUGACUCCAAAGGCAACACUCCUCCUGUGCGUGAUGGCAAAGCUAUGCUACAUGAUAUUAUCACGUUAUCAUAUUGCUCACCAAGUCACUAGGCCAGCUUUUGCUGUACUUUUUCUUCAUUUUGUUCAGAUUUAUUUCAUGCCCCAAUGUUCUGUUAUGUGCAGCUAUGUGAUUUUAUUUGAAGAACCAUGCAAAGCAAUUUGAGAUGAUGCAUAUAAAGCAUAUUCGAUUUAUUAAGUGUUUUCAAGUAUUCAAUUUAUUAAGAGUUCACUCAUCAUUGCCGACCGUACACAGGUAUUCUGAACCUUACCAUCCGAUUUUCAGAAUAAGAGUUGUCUGUAUAAUUCAUGGUGGUUAAAACAGCAGCAUCUGUAGAAUUCCCCUUUGUCCAUGUUGUACCUACAAUUUACUACUAUAUUUGUAGUGCUACUUCAUUUGAAUUUUGUAACCAAAAUAAAUGCAGGCGAGCGAUUCAGGGUUAUUGUUCGAAGUGGCUAUAAUAUGUAGGGGUUAUUGUUCGAAGUGGCUAUAAUAUGUGGCUGCAAACUUGCCGAGGCCAGCAUAAGGAGUGAUGGAGUUAUCUUCUACUUUUAUUUGUUCAUGUUGUCUCAACAAACUGACUUGUGUUUAUGGCGACUUUUUUAUGUGUCCAUGGAUCAGAGAGGAUGGAUGAUGCAGUGGCCACAUCAAGCGCCCUGUGCUCGACGACAAUGGAAAUGCAGUUUCUCAGAGCUAGCAGGAAGGAGGCUGAUGGCUUCCCGUUGUAGUAAGAGACAACACACCAGCCUGCAAGGUGAUUAGCACUCAGCAAACUAUUGGAAAGAUGUUGCUACCUUGUUUUUUUUCAAACUCGACAUGCACGUGCAAGAAUAGGUAUGGCUACAUGCUUUCUAUAUCUAUCAGGUUCAUAAAGCAUUUUGGAGAGGUGCAUCUUGUUGGAGAGGUCUGGUAUGCAUAUUUAAUUGAAGAAAACAAAAGUUUUUGAUAGAAUAAAGAUUGAUGAAAAUUUGGACUUACUCUACCAGGGACAAUUUUCUCUACCAGGGACAAUUUUCAUGAUAAAUUAUACGAAGUUUGUAUCUUGGGGACAUCUUCAUGCCGACUUACGUUAAAUAUUGGGAUAUGUCCCCUCAUGUGCCAGUUUUGAGAUUUUGUUAGAAGUACAUGAUCUAUUCUUAGUUCCUGCAUGUUUUUUCACCUUUGUAGAUUUGAGUAUAACUUAAAGUUCUAGAUGCAUAUAAGCUUGUGAGUUAACUAAAGCUCACUUGAUGGUUCUAACUAAAUUCUGCAAAAAUAUGACCAUCAUGGGAUGCCUGCACCAACAACUUUAUAAACUGAACUACGUUUUGCUAGAUGACUCAAAUUUUAGAACGCGGGCAUUAUUUUUUUGGGAUGCAGUUAGCAAUAGAAUCAAGUCAAGCUGAAAACAAGAGAUUGAUUGUUCGAUAUUGAAUUUAAUUCCUUUCUUGCAAAAGCACCUUAUGAGUGAGGAGAUUAUUCAAUAUUGUAUUUUAUUCCUUUCUUUUACCCACUGUUCUAUAUUGCAUGCUUGCACCUGAUCAGGUUUCUAACUCAAUUCAUUUUUGUUAGAUCCGUUGAUGAAGAAAACCACACAUUUCACGAUAUGAUGAUUGGUACUUCCAGUUUUGUUGUACUCUCUCAUUUGCCUUUGUGGGAACGACACUGCUCUAUUGCUUGCUUAUUUAAGAUCAUGCAUAUAUGCCGCAUGUCAGCCUCAUGGGGAUCAAACAGAUGAGGAGAAGGAAGCAGCAAGGAAGAAGGUAGAGGAGAUGGACACCUGAUCUGCAAGUUCCUGAAUUUCAACGUUUAUUGCGUGUUGCUGUGUUAAUAUUGGGUGCAGCAAUUUCACAACUCUGGGAAGAGCAUCUGCUGGAGGGCGUCACCUGCGGCAUCACCUGCAUCGACCUCUCGCUGAUUACCAUCCCAAGGAUGCGCGACUGACUGGCGAAGCAGGGCUUCAGUGAUAAGUUCACCGAUUUGGUCGACUCACCGUUCCCUUCCUCUGUCCAUGCAAUGCCGCUCGUUGUUGUUAGGUUGUUAAUUCAUCAGGCCCCUUAUUGCGCUACAUAGUUUGUUCAUCUCACAUGCCUUCUUAGGAGAAAUCAUGUACUAAAGAUAAGCUAUUCUUUAUUUACAUUUUAUUUAUUUUGCUUUGGAAAUCUUCUGACUACUUGCACGAAUUUUAGUUCCUACUUGUACAGUUGCCUGCAUUUUGUGUUUGAGAAACAUCUGCUGAUUAAGUGUAAAAUAAUACUUGCAAGUUCUGUUUGUUGACUGCGCCAUGAUAAGCUUUAGGCCUUUAGCUGUACAAAGCUGCUAAAGUAGGUGAGAACCACCUGCAGCUCAAUCCUUGUUUUUCUCAACAUUGACAAGGUAAAGUAAAUGCGGAGCCAAGAUCGAUUGUUGUAAGCCUUUUACUGACUAUGAGCAAGGGGAUCUAGAGAGGAGCACUGCAAUAUGACAAUGCCCUUCGUUAGCUCUGAUUUUCCCUUUUUGUAACACUAGCUUAGAGGGAUUUCUGAAACGAGUAGAAGAUUAAUAACUUCUACGACAUCAAAGAUCUCUGAGCUUUUAGAGUAUGCAGCUUAUUGAUUUACUUAUCGAUUUAUUCACACUCUUAUCAGAUUUGUCUUGAACGUGAUACUUUAUUUAUUGUACUGAACAGUGGAAGCUAACUGUUUCUUUAUACAGAAUUAGCCUGCACCAUUUCUGUAUAAGUUCGCCUUGAUACCAAUUUGCAUACUUGCGCUACUAGGGCCUUUGGUCAGUUUGCAACUGGAAUUCUAGACACAUAUACUGAGUUCAUGAUGGAAAUAUGCGAGUAUUCUGAAGGUUUGGAAAAUGUUUUAAUUACUACCAGCCGGAAUUUGGGAAUUAGUCUUACAAAGAGAAGAGACAAGGAAACAUUAUAUGUCAAUGGUUCUUUAUUUUCCUGUGCAGAUAAUGAAACUAGCAAUUCUGUAAUUCACGAGUUUGCGUGAAUACGGAAACUUAAGGUGCUUCCACCUUCCAAACUACAAGGUCUGCAGCCUUAGAUGAACAACUACAGCUUUAUUUGCCCGAGGAUGAUUUGAUUGUGCAAGUAAGCCUACAUAAUUUCCCUUGUGAUUUAUAUUUAUCGGCGAGGUCUCUGUGGCUUGCGAGAAAUCAUGUAUUGACAUAAAUGAGAAGAACCUACAAUAAGUAACUCCACUGAAUUUGUGAGAUAUCUGUAGCCGGUACAACAUACAACUUGAUGGAGUUUGUUAGAUCAACCGUAGAAGUUCUAUAUGUGUGUUCAGUGCAGAUAACUAGAUAUUAUUAUAAUAUUCUCUCAAGUUUAAGCUUAUCCAAUUAGCAGAAGUCUUGAGAAAAUUCAAGACAUACGUAAGAUGCACAUGGACCACGAGUCUUUCAACAUGGCAGGGCGCGUAGUGGCAUGCGACAAGCAACAUAUGUUGAAAGAGACCAUUGAUCACUACUUGGACCUAAAUUUUUCCGUCAGUUAUUAUUGUUACAAUCAUGUAUCAUUGUUUUCACCAUGUUUGCAAAUAUUUUUUUCCUCUGACGAUUGUGUGCAAGUUUGCAGGGAAUCCAAAGCAAUGCAUAAAGUGGGAUAUUUUUCUUUUAAUUUAUGCACUCAUGAAAUGAGAAAGAACUAAAUCAACCAAUUUGCAGGGUGACUAUUCAUUGUUUCAUAAUUUUAUAUUCUUCCAUGUUAAUACUCCAAGAUGACGACUUAUAAUGCUCAUAUAGGAUGGUUGCGAGCUAAGGAAGUGAUUUUUGGUGCACCUUCUCGUCUGCUCCCGCGAGCGGCGAGGCGAACCCUAGCGUGCCUCCUCCAGCCUCCCCCCCUCUCUUGCCGGCGUCGGUGGCGGCGGGGCAUCUUCCCCUUCCUCAUGGUGGGCCGGCGCGGGACGGCGACUCGAAGCGGAGGCGCGCAGUUCUACAGGACGGUGCGGCGGCCGGGCCGGCACGAUGGUGGCGUCCUGGGUUGGCGGCGCGGGCGGCUGCUCAUCGGGGGCGUGGUGGGGCGUGCCUACGCGGGUGGCGGCUCUGAGCGUCCUGGCCAGAUCUGGAUCGGGCGGGUGCUCUGGCCGGCAGCCAGCACGCGGCGCGGGCUGAGGCGGCAAGGGCACAUGCAUGCCUCCCACUUAUAUUAUGCGGUAGGGGUUAGUCUGUUUAGUUAUGUCUGAGCGGAAUAAUUUUCCUACUCAAGAAAACGUGGCAACUUAUGUUUCAUUAGAGAUGGCUUUGUAGCAAAUUGCAUGAUCGAGCGAUUCAUAUUUUUGUCAUCAAGUCGUA